GGGGAAUAUUGCACAAUGGGCGCAAGCCUGAUGCAGCCAUGCCGCGUGUAUGAAGAAGGCCUUCGGGUUGUAAAGUACUUUCAGCGAGGAGGAAGGCAUUGUGGUUAAUAACCGCAGUGAUUGACGUUACUCGCAGAAGAAGCACCGGCUAACUCCGUGCCAGCAGCCGCGGUAAUACGGAGGGUGCAAGCGUUAAUCGGAAUUACUGGGCGUAAAGCGCACGCAGGCGGUCUGUCAAGUCGGAUGUGAAAUCCCCGGGCUCAACCUGGGAACUGCAUUCGAAACUGGCAGGCUAGAGUCUUGUAGAGGGGGGUAGAAUUCCAGGUGUAGCGGUGAAAUGCGUAGAGAUCUGGAGGAAUACCGGUGGCGAAGGCGGCCCCCUGGACAAAGACUGACGCUCAGGGGCGAAAGCGUGGGGAGCAAAC
rnacentral:rRNA from 1 species